AUGGGUUUCGAUAAUGAAUGUAUUCUGAAUAUACAAACUCUUCCUGGUGAAUAUUUUUGCCCUGUUUGUCGGACGCUCAUAUACCCCAACGAAGCUCUGCAAGCUCAGUGCACACAUCUCUACUGCAAACCUUGCUUGGCUUAUGUAGCAGCAACCACACAAGCCUGCCCUUAUGAUGGUUACUUAGUGACGGAAGCUGAUUCCAAGCCUCUGGUGGAUUCAAAUAAAUCACUUGCUGAGACAAUUGGUAAAGUUACAGUACAAUGCCUGUACAACAAGAGUGGUUGCCAAUGGCAAGGAAACCUGUCUGAAUGCAACACACAUGGUACCGCUUGUGCCUAUGGGAACUCGCCUGUUGUUUGUAACCGUUGUGGUACUCAGAUUGUACAUCGUCAAGUGCAAGAACAUGCUCAGCUUUGUCCUGGCAUGCAACCCCAAACACAACAGGCUGACGGUAGUCUGACACAGUCAUCAGCUGCAACGACCCAGGCAGUCACCCAAGAUCCUUCUGCAGUUUCCUCUGUGGCGCUUGUAGCAGCUCCUACAGCUGGAGCUGUUACAGCUUCUGCACUGGCAACUGGUUCAGCUGGUGUGACCACAACAAGCACGGUUGCUGUGGCCCCUUUUGCAGGGGCACCUACUUAUGCUACUCAAGGUCAAGCAGUUGCACCACAAAUUCAAUCAGCCGAGCAGUACCAGCAGCAGCUCCAGUACCACCAGUACUACCAGCAGCAUUACCCUGGCUACAAUCCCUACACCCAGCAGUAUCAACAGUAUGGCCAAUACCAACAGUACACACAACCUCAAACGCAAGUGGCACCACAGAAUGUUGCUCAAGUGCCUGCACAACCUGCUCCAUAUGCUCAGCCUCAAUUCCUGCAGCCGCCACAGCCCCAACACAUAGUGCCAAACCAGUCCCAGAAUCCUCAACUCCAAGCACCAGCUGUUCAGCCACAGCCUCAGCAGAAUCCACCAUUGCAUUCAGCGCCUCAAAUUCCACAGAUGCAACCACAAGGUGAUGUACAACCUAUAGCCCAUACCCAAGUUUGUAAUCAGCCAUUUGCAAUGCCUGCAACUCAAGCAAUAGCCUCCCAGGUGCAGCCAUAUGUGCAACCUCAUCCUCCACAUCAACAGCAGGCUGUUGCCCAGCAACAACCGCAAAUGCAGUACCCACCUCAGCAGCAACAUCCUCAAUCUCAGAUGCAGCACCAGCAUCCACAAGUGCGGCAGCAAUCGUACCCACAACCUCAUGUCUAUCAUCAGCCUCAUCCAGUUGCACAAUCUCAGAACCCUUCAGUACAUGCGGUAGCAGGUCAUCAAUCAUAUUCGCAGCCUCAGCCAGCACAUCAGAUGGCACAUGGUGCUGCAAUCCAGCACCCUGUACAUGCAUCUCACCAACAGUUAGUUGGUCCUCAGCAUCCUGCACUUGUACACCCUCCUCAGGGUCAAUUUCCGUUGCAAGGUCAACAACCAUCCAUGCUGGCUCCUCAAGGUACUCAGCAUACACCACAACAUCAGCAACAUGGGCAUCAGGCUCAGCGGCCACCAAUGCAUCCCAGCAUCCCUUCGCAGGCACCACCACAAGGAUUUCCUCUUAACACACCUGUUCCUUCACAAACAAGUCAAUCAUACCAACAAGGAAUGCACUCAUCACAACAACAGAUUCAUCCUCAACCUUUCCAGCCCCAUGGUCCACAAUAUAUGCAGCAGCAGCAUGUUCCAACCUCGACUAGCAGGUCUACGAGUUAUGUUGCAACACCGCAUCAGUUCCAAGAAUCAGGAAAGUCAGAAAGUGCAGCUAAUGCUAGUGGCAAUGCUGAAGUAGGCGAUAAUACAAAUGGAGGCAGUGAAUAUUCUGGCAUAAAGCCAGAAUAUCUGGGUGAUAAAAAUGUGAAUGGGGAGCAGAAUGAUUUUAGUAAUAUCAGAAAAAAUGCGGUACAAACUGGCAUUGCAUUGGGCGUUGCAGAUGGUUUAGACAAAGGCAAAGGAAAGGAUGAGUCUGGUGGCCAGGAAAGUAAUUCACAGUCUGAAGCUUCAAAUAUAUCCAAUGAUCUUGAGAAAGGAGGAUCAUUGCAGCAGGCAUCACAGAAAAGCCAGGGAGCACUGGGUUCCUAUGCGCCCCCAGGCAUGGGCCGACAGCGUCCUUCUGGACCUGAUACCAUGCUUACUCAGCAUAUGCUCCAUCCUCCUGUGCCAUGUACGCAAGCCCAGAAGAAUCAAAUGAGGCCACCUAGUCAUAGUUUUCCAGAAAAUGUCCGGCCUACAGUGCAGCAACAACUAUAUGGUGUAUAUCAAUCUGAAAUGGCACCAAGGGUGUUUGCACCAAACCUUCCGCGGCCUGCACCCACCAUACCUGAUGAUGGCAUGAUUCGACCACCCAUGGCUGGACCCUUGCCUGGACUUCAUGACACAACUAUGCCUCCUUUUGCUCCAGAAAAUGUUGGCCGACCACAUCCUGUUGGAAUGAGAAAUGGUGUCGGCGGAGAGCAACUAGGAAAUUCCAGGGCUUUCCAUGAAGAAGGGUUCAAUACUUCACGGGAACAUUUCAGGUCGUUGGGGCCACCAUAUCCUGGCAGAUACAAUGUCAACCCUAAAGAUAUUGAAGAGAAUAUGAAGCAAUUUCCAGGGCCAACUCAUCUUGAUGAUGACAGUUUUCAGAGAGGCCCAAGGCCUUUUGAUGGUUUCGAUUCAUUACCAGGAAGGCCUCCAUUCCCAAACAAGCCAGGCCCAUAUCCUAUAGGCUUCCCUGAAGAUUUGUCAAGGAAGCCCCAUUCAAUUGUUGGUCAUCCUGACUUUGUGUCACCUGGUGCAGAAUUUGGCCAUCACAGGGUUGAUGGAAUGCCUAGAAACCCAGGUUCAUUUGUUCAAGGGAUGACAGCUGGUCCCGGAGGUCUUCGUAAGGACCAACUAGGCCCUGGCAACCUUCCAGGGAGUAGACAGCAUGAUUUUGACAAUCUAGGGUUCCCUCAUACACAUUUCCACCCCGCUGAUAUUUUUCUUCCAAGAAAUCUUCAUGGUUCUGAACCCCUUGGGCAUGGUCAAUUGCAUGGAAUUGAACCUUCUGGCCACCGGUUCCAAGGACACGUACAUCCAGAUGAUCCAAAUUUUGAUGACUAUUCUCGACAUGGUUUUCCACAAGAAUCUGGCCGCUUCAGUUCGGGUGGUUUCUUCAGUAGUGGAGAAGUUGGUUGGUGCCGGAUAUGCAUGUUUAACUGUGGGAGUGCAGAGGACCUUGGUCUACAUGUGCAUACAAGAGAACAUCAGCAGCAUGCAAUGGACAUUGUUCUGAAAAUGAAGCAUGAUGUCGCGAAGCGACAGAAAAUGAAUCCUGGAGGCCCCAAGUCAUUAAACAAAAAAGCAGCCAUGAAGGGCAACUUCCAUGGAAAUAGGCGUUAG
rnacentral:rRNA from 1 species